GACGAACGCUGGCGGCGUGCCUAAUACAUGCAAGUCGAGCGAACAGACGGGAGCUUGCUCCCUGAAGUUAGCGGCGGACGGGUGAGUAACACGUGGGCAACCUGCCUGUAAGACUGGGAUAACUUCGGGAAACCGGAGCUAAUACCGGAUAAUACUUCCACUCACAUGAGAGGGAGUUAAAAGACGGCGCAAGCUGUCACUUACAGAUGGGCCCGCGGCGCAUUAGCUAGUUGGUGAGGUAACGGCUCACCAAGGCGACGAUGCGUAGCCGACCUGAGAGGGUGAUCGGCCACACUGGGACUGAGACACGGCCCAGACUCCUACGGGAGGCAGCAGUAGGGAAUCUUCCGCAAUGGACGAAAGUCUGACGGAGCAACGCCGCGUGAGUGAAGAAGGUCUUCGGAUCGUAAAACUCUGUUAUCAGGGAAGAAUAAGUAUCGGAGUCACUGCCGGUACCUUGACGGUACCUGACCAGAAAGCCACGGCUAACUACGUGCCAGCAGCCGCGGUAAUACGUAGGUGGCAAGCGUUGUCCGGAAUUAUUGGGCGUAAAGCGCGCGCAGGCGGUUUUUUAAGUCUGAUGUGAAAUCUUGUGGCUUAACCACAAGCGGUCAUUGGAAACUGGAAGACUUGAGUGCAGAAGAGAAGAGCGGAAUUCCACGUGUAGCGGUGAAAUGCGUAGAGAUGUGGAGGAACACCAGUGGCGAAGGCGGCUCUUUGGUCUGUAACUGACGCUGAGGCGCGAAAGCGUGGGGAUCAAACAGGAUUAGAUACCCCUGGUAGUCCACGCCGUAAACGAUGAGUGCUAAGUGUUAGAGGGUUUCCGCCCUUUAGUGCUGCAGCAAACGCAUUAAGCACUCCGCCUGGGGAGUACGGCCGCAAGGCUGAAACUCAAAGGAAUUGACGGGGGCCCGCACAAGCGGUGGAGCAUGUGGUUUAAUUCGAAGCAACGCGAAGAACCUUACCAGGUCUUGACAUCCCGCUGCCCGGUUUAGAGAUAGACCUUUCCCUUCGGGGACAGCGGUGACAGGUGGUGCAUGGUUGUCGUCAGCUCGUGUCGUGAGAUGUUGGGUUAAGUCCCGUAACGAGCGCAACCCUUGAUCUUAGUUGCCAGCAUUCAGUUGGGCACUCUAAGGUGACUGCCGGUGACAAACCGGAGGAAGGUGGGGAUGACGUCAAAUCAUCAUGCCCCUUAUGACCUGGGCUACACACGUGCUACACUGGAUGGUACAAAGGGUCGCGAGACCGCGAGGUUAAGCCAAUCCCAUAAAACCAUUCUCAGUUCGGAUUGCAGGCUGCAACUCGCCUGCAUGAAGCCGGAAUCGCUAGUAAUCGUGGAUCAGCAUGCCACGGUGAAUACGUUCCCGGGCCUUGUACUCACCGCC
rnacentral:rRNA from 1 species